rfam:Oryza glumipatula chromosome 10, whole genome shotgun sequence.
AAUAAGUGCAGUUUUACACUAUUCACGUUCAACGUCUGAUCGUCCGUCUUAUUUGAAAAUUUUUUAUGAUUAGUAUUUUUAUUGCUAUUAGAUGAUAAAACAUGAAUAGUACUUUAUGUGUGACUAAAUAUUUUUAUUUUUUUCACAAAUUUUUCAAAUAAGACGGACGGUCAAACAUUGAACAUGAAUAGUGCAAAGCUGCACUUAUU